rnacentral:rRNA from 1 species
UACGGAGGGUGCAAGCGUUAUCCGGAUUCACUGGGUUUAAAGGGUGUGUAGGCGGAUAUUUAAGUCAGUGGUGAAAUCUCAAGGCUCAACCUUGAAACUGCCAUUGAUACUAUUUAUCUUGAAUAUCGUUGAGGUAGGCGGAAUAUGUCAUGUAGCGGUGAAAUGCUUAGAUAUGACAUAGAACACCGAUUGCGAAGGCAGCUUACUAAACGAUCAUUGACGCUGAGGCACGAAAGCGUGGGGAUCAAACAGG